CCUACGGGAGGCAGCAGUGGGGAAUAUUGGGCAAUGGAGGAAACUCUGACCCAGCGACGCCGCGUGCGGGAUGAAGGCCUUCGGGUUGUAAACCGCUUUCAGUAGGGAAGAAGCGAAAGUGACGGUACCUACAAAAGAAGCACCGGCUAACUAUGUGCCAGCAGCCGCGGUAAGACAGAGGGUGCAAACGUUGUUCGGAAUUACUGGGCGUAAAGCGCGUGUAGGCGGCUUGGCAAGUCGGGUGUGAAAGCCCUGGGCUCAACCCAGGAAGUGCACUCGAAACUGCUUCGCUAGAGUACCGGAGAGGAUAGCGGAAUUCUCGGUGUAGAGGUGAAAUUCGUAGAUAUUCGGAGGAACACCAGUGGCGAAGGCGAUUUCCUGGUACAUGACUGACACUCAGACCCGAAAGUGUGGGGAUCAAACAGGAUUAGAUACCCUGGUAGUCCACACCGUAAGCGAUGUGCAUUAGGCGUUGGAGCGUUUUACGCUUCAGUGCUACAGCUAACGCGUUAAAUGCACCGCCUGGGAAGUACGGCCGCAAGGUUGAAACUCAAAGGAAUUGACGG
rnacentral:rRNA from 1 species